AACGAACGCUGGCGGCGUGCCUAACACAUGCAAGUCGAACGAGAAAACCGUAGCAAUACGGUGAGUAAAGUGGCGCACGGGUCCGUAACACGUGGGUAAUCUGCCUCUGGGUGAGGGACAACCUGUCGAAAGACGGGCUAAUACCCCAUAAGACCACGGGAUCUCCGGAUCCUGGGGUCAAAGGUGGCCUCUAUUUAUAAGCUAUCGCCUGGAGAAGAGCUCGCGCAUCAUCAGCUUGUUGGUGAGGUAAUGGCUUACCAAGGCCUAGACGAUUAGCUGGUCUGAGAGGACGACCAGCGACACUGGAACUGAGACACGGUCCAGACUCCUACGGGAGGCAGCAGUGGGAAUAUUGGACAAUGGGCGAAAGCCUGAUCCAGCAACGCCGCGUGAGUGAUGAAGGCC
rnacentral:rRNA from 1 species